ACGUAGGGGGCGAGCGUUGUCCGGAUUUAUUGGGCGUAAAGGGCGUGUAGGCGGCCUGGUAAGUCGGGGGUGAAAACUCAGGGCUCAACCCUGAGACUGCCUUCGAUACUGCUGGGCUUGAGUGCUCUAGAGGGUAGUGGAAUUGCCGGUGUAGCAGUGAAAUGCGUAGAGAUCGGCAGGAACACCAGUGGCGAAGGCGACUGCCUGGGGAGUAACUGACGCUGAGGCGCGAAAGCUGGGGGAGCAAACGGGA
rnacentral:rRNA from 1 species